GAUUUCUCAGAAUACUGAAAUCUAAGGCAUCCUGAAACAGGAAGCACCAAAUUCUGAUAUUACAAUCAAAUUCACUCGGGGAUUCUAUUCAUAUAAUAGGCAGGCAAUCAAUAUCAGAAGGGCAAAAAGAACUCCCUGAACAUGCCUAGCCAACGCAUUCCUUAAAUAAAAAGCUGGAAAAAAGCAAAAGAACAAACUUAGAAACUAGUUUUCUGUGCCUAAUAACUAGUGAUAUAUAAAAACAGUUUCCAAACACAAAAUAAAGAGGGGAAAAAAGCUGCCCGACUACUCUGCCAGCAGAAUAUAGGAUUCAGCCACAAGAUCACUCCUUGGUCCUUGAAGCAACCAAAUCUAGCGUUUUUCACUUGCUAAAGAGCACAACCAUAAGACGACCAAUUGAUUUAAAUCAGGAAACCACCAGAACUAACGGGAAACACUUGAAUAAUCCAAACAAAAGACUCGAUUAUCUAUCCGCCACCUCUGCCGUGGCACACCGAAAAAAAUUAUCAUGAAUCAAACUCAAAUACACCUCCACACCGUCCGACACCCAACCCAAGAC
rnacentral:misc_RNA from 1 species